rnacentral:tRNA from 1 species
GUGGGCGUAGCUCAGCCUGGUAGAGCCCUGGAUUGUGGUUCCAGUUGUCACGGGUUCAAAUCCCGUCGUCCACCCCA